AUUGAACGCUGGCGCAUGCUUUACACAUGCAAGUCGAACGGCAGCAUAGAGAGCUUGCUCUCUGAUGGCGAGUGGCGAACGGGUGAGUAAUACAUCGGAACGUGUCCUUUUGUGGGGGAUAACUACUCGAAAGAGUAGCUAAUACCGCAUAAGACCUAAGGGUGAAAGCGGGGGACCUUCGGGCCUCGCGCAGUUGGAGCGGCCGAUGACUGAUUAGCUAGUUGGUGGGUAAAGGCCUACCAAGGCGACGAUCAGUAGCUGGUCUGAGAGGACGACCAGCCACAUUGGGACUGAGACACGGCCAAACUCCUACGGGAGGCAGCAGUGGGGAAUUUUGGACAAUGGGGGGCAACCCUGAUCCAGCCAUGCCGCGU
rnacentral:rRNA from 1 species